UACGUAGGGGUCAAGCGUUGUCCGGAUUUAUUGGGCGUAAAGAGCGUGUAGGCGGCUUUGCAAGUCCGUUGUGAAAACUCGAGGCUCAACCUCGAGACGCCGGUGGAAACUGCAAAGCUAGAGUCCGGAAGAGGAGAGUGGAAUUCCUGGUGUAGCGGUGAAAUGCGCAGAUAUCAGGAAGAACACCCGUGGCGAAGGCGGCUCUCUGGGACGGUACUGACGCUGAGACGCGAAAGCGUGGGGAGCGAACAGG
rnacentral:rRNA from 1 species